GUCAUCCCUGUUGACUGGCCAUGCUGACUGGGGCUUAUGGGAGUUGGAGUCCAGCAAUAACUGAAAGGCACCACAUUGGCUAUUGCUGACUUAGGCUGUUGGUUAAAAUCAGGAUCAUGGAACCCCAUGGGUCCACAGGUGCAGAAGGAGAUUACUGAGUUCCUCUUCUGGCUGCAGCCUUUUGCACUGCAUCAGACAUUGCCCCAGAAGUUUUUGUGACAUCAGUUGGGGGUUUUCUGCACCCAAAAGAGAGGGUAGGGGAGCCUAUAAGUCCCAGUACAUGUAUGGAACACUGCACAGCUCUCUGAAUCUUGGGCUAUGCACUUUCACAGUUUCAGUUUUCACUUGGUUUUGCACUUAAAUGGCUGUUUACCAUCCAUACAGGUGUGAAAUGGGCACCAAAUUCUCCUUUGAUACUUGUUGGAGGAAAUCAGAAUUAGUGCUGCUCCUCUCACUGUCCUGUGUGUUGAAGGCCGGAGAAUUGGUUGUGCCUUAACUACACUCAUUUUGUUGGCUGGGAAUGGCUUUUCCUCCCACUAUUUUGGAGCCUUAUCUUGCUCUCUGUUGUAUCUUUCCACUUAACGCUGGAAUGAAUUAUAGGAAACCCGGUCAUUCUGACUCAAUCAGUGCUUAGAUGUGUGACUCAGUACUGCAACAUUGCAAGUGACUGAGGAGACAUCAGACAGCUUUCUUCCCUCUUCUGACCUCCUGUACACACACCAGGGGGAUCUCUAAUCACAGGGGUGACAUCAAAAGUCUGUUUCUCUCAUUAAAGGCUUGAGUGGGUUCAAACAACUUCUGUGGUUGCCUCUACAGCUGGCACACUGGGGUGCAGGCAAUGCAGCUUAGAAUCAUAAAAUCACAUAGCUUAAAGGGACCCAAAGAUAAUCUACGCUGCAUGCCCCCCCCCGGAUUAACCCACUUUCCCUUGGUUUUAGUGUGCUGCAAAUAAAGAGCCAGAGAGCAGAUCAGGUGCUCACACCAGAGCUGCCUCUUGAAUUAAGUAAUAUGAAAAAAAUCUAGACAGCAAGCUUGGUGCUUAUUACAGCAGCAAAUUGCCAGAGUCAGUAGCCAGUCUGAGCAGAGAGACAACAUGUUUCUGUAGGGAUUUUUUGUCUCCAGUUAGACUUUUAUCUAAAAGUGCAGCAAAAUGAUGUAAUGAGGUACUAGAGUCCUGAAAUAAUACGAUGGCCCGGGGUGGGAUAAAUUUAUUUGGGAUAUAGGAGCAGGUCUUGAUGUUCUGCCCUUUCAUUCACCCCAGUAGAUAAGGUCAAGAAAAAAGGGCAGCUAUUGGAGUUUCCAACCUUAAAUCAAUAUUUCUUUGUCCUAUUGGUGAUUGGCAUUGUGCCCUCACAGCUGCUCUGUUUCACAGAAACCAGCUACUUCCAGCUUCUGGUGGCACAUUCUGUUUCCGAGAGCAACUCUCUUGUGCUGGUUAAUGUGUCAGGAUACGUUGUCAGACAUCAGCUUAAGGACAUUGCGUCAGUCAUGGUAGGCAGGUGGCCAUAUCAUUUUGGGCAGUUAAAUUUUAUUGACGUCUACAAAGGCACUUCCUGUCCCAAUGAACGGUGACUCAGUGGAGGUGUUAAGAGUAGAGGUAUACGAAGUGUCUGGGAGUGAUACCAUUGCAGUGGGGUAGCCCUUGGGUGCUCCCAAGUGUGCAUUUCCCCAUGACAGAGAGGGAGGGAGUGAUGGUGCAGCAGUAGCUGUGAUGUUGAAUCGCUCAUGAGUAAGGAUGUGAGUCUGCCUUGUCCUCACCUUGUUGAGACAUCAGCAUUACAUAGGAAAAGUAAUGUAACACACAGCUUCUGUGCUUAAGAAGCUUUAAUCCACUACAGUGGGAUUGAUUCAUGUCCAUGUGUUCCUGCAGUAGUUCUAGAGGUACAUUAUGCAGAACCAGUUUCUCAGCCCAGGGUGACAUCUAGUGGUCCAACAUACUCUCUCUGUCAGUAACCAGGCUCCUAUUGAUGCUUGGCUUUAUCUCAUACAGUGGUUUCACUUAGGUUACUUUGCAGUUGGAGAUGCACCUCCUAUUUAUGUGUCACCAAUGAGUAUUGCCCACUACUGGUGGCACACUGGUCUUUUCAUUGACCUUUGUGGUGUGUAUGUGACUGCUUCAGGAGACACCCCAGCAUGUGUGGUAGUGGUAAAGGUCUCUGCCUUGUCUCUCUAUUUCCAGUUGUCUAUUCUGGACAGGACACCAAUUUUAUAGAGGGUUAUUCCUUUAGACUCACUCACACUUUCCCCCACAGUUAUUUCUGUUACGUGGUGGGGAAAUUGCCAAAUGUGAGGUGCCUAUGUUCAACAGCCCUGGUGGUGAGAAAUUUCUGUGUUAAGGAAUUAUUAAGUUUGUAGGUCAAAAGAAAAUGACCACAUGACCUCUCACUGUUGUUCCGUCCUGGAUUGCAGAACUCUUAGUCCAUGCUUUUGCUUCUCCUGCUCAGAGUUCAUGCCAGUGAACCGGAUUCAUUGUGUGCAUUUGCUUAAAAACAAAAAGCAACAAGAUGGCAACACUUGGGUACUGAAUUGUCUCUAGAUGUUGAAGUUGGUUUCUAUCUUAUACCACCCCUUCCCUCCCUGUUGGAACAGUAAAUAAUGUAAAUAUAUUGGAACUUAGCAAUACUGUGUAAAAAACAAACCAACCCAUACAGCAUCUCGGAUCUAGUGGUGCAAAACCCACCUAUCCACUGUGGAAUGGGAUAAGGUCAGUGAUUGCCACUUCAGAGAAUGCCAGCUUCAGAUUAUGUGACGUUUUUGUUAAUAAGAGAGGACUCACCCCAGAGACAUAACUGGGAAUGGGGAUAGGGGGUAUCAUGGACAAGAGGCAGCUUCUAACUGGGUUGUGCCAUUUGAAAUGUCUCACGUUUUUGAGCCUGGAGAUUCUUCAUGAUUACUUCCUCCUACUGGUUUCCAAGUACUCCGUGUACAGGAGUUCCCCUUCUGUAUCAGCAGAUUCUUCAUGAUGACGUCCUCCUACUGGUUUCCAAAAUUCCCCUUGCCCCUUUGGAUAGUACCUUGAAGUGUAAUUGUGCCUUAACACCAGCCAGCAGGGAUAAGGAGGUGUAUUCUGCUGGGACAAAGGCCCUUGGGGUAGUUUAAUCAGAAAGGGGACAGGCUAGCAUCUGCUAUGUCUCUUCUCUUAGUGUUCGGAAAGUUAGUUUCUCUUGCUAUAAAGGCAGUGCCCCAAUCAUUAAUGCCUAGUUCUUUGAAGUCCCCCACUCCAUAUGGGACCAAGCCCACACUCACAGUGGAUAGAGGCUUCCUUGCCCUCAUAGCCUUACUAAGCAAACUCUGAUGGCCAGCUGUAACAAUCUGGAAGAGCUGGGUCUUCCAAGGGAACCUUUUGGCUUGGUCCUUCUAAGCUACGGUGCUUCUGUUUUGAGGUGCAUUGGGAUGCUUCCAAAUGGAGUUUUUUUCCUUUUCUUUUUCUGGACUCAUGUAUGCUCCUACAUGAGUGGAAUUCAAGAGGUCCUUAGGCUUACAAAACCAUUUCCACAUGCAUGUCAGAUGGUGUUCCCUCCCUCUUCAAUUUUUCCUGUCUUCCACUCCUUGUACAGCAUUGAAGACUAUCCCCAAGAAUUUUGGGGAGUAGUUUGUUGAGCCAGCACAGAGGUCUUCAGUCAUAAAGGUGAGCCUCCCAAAGUUUGCACGAUAAUUCAUUGCACGGUCAUUUUGGGUCCUAGCCAGUGCUUUUUUCCCUAAAAAAAUGUUUUGGGGUACUCUCAUUCUGUCUGAGACUCAGGAAACACCAUGACAGGAAAUGAGGCCGCCAUCGGGAGUAGCAACCAAACUGACGAUUCACCUUGCUAGAGAAGAAACUAAAUUUUUUAUUUUUUUUAGUUUCUUCUCCUGUUAGAUUCACAAAAUGUUUAGGGGUAUGCAUACCCCUACAUCCCCCCAGAAAAAAAACCCACUGGUCCUGGCCAUGGAGCAUGCCUGAAACUGGUAAGCCAGAUGGAAGAUAUGUCAACCCUGUGCUGAUACCAGGUUGGGGAGACAGCAACAUGUGUAAUGCAGCCACUUUGAGGUUUUUUCCCCUACAAUUGAGUGAUUUAUAAAUUUUAUGAAAUAAUAAUGGAGUUGCUACAGGUAGCACAAUCUGCAGGAAUAAAUGUCUCCCCCCCCCCCCAUUCCACAUCCUCCUUUCUUCCUUCUCUGAUGCUGUGGAACAGUUUUAAACCCCCAUCUGGAAGCUCCCUUGGUCUUUAUUUCUGAUGUGCUGAUUACUUUAUUCAUCUGUUGAAGAGCUAUAUGGUCCCUUUCUUAGAGUGCAGAUGCCACUGCUACUGAAAUAUACUGUGACUGAAGCACAGACUUCUGCAUGAGCUGUCCUUUGUCCUCAUCCAAUUGCUACUUUAUAAGGAAAGAAGUCUGGUGGGGAAGUCCCUGAUGUGAUGGCAUGUGAGGGAGAUAAUGAAGGCAACAUGGCACCUUUUAGCUGCCAUAAUGUGCAUUUUGGCCCUCGGCUAACCAGACAGACAGCUGAACCUGCCAUUACAUGAGUCUCUGGUUUGGUGGCCAAGCAGCGGCCUGGGAUGCCCUGGCUGAGGCUGCAUUCUUCUCUGACACACACUAACACCAAAAGUAUGGGAUUGUCUUCAUUGCAGUUGAGUGAAACGUGUUUGUCAACCAUGUUGUUUAAUCCAAAUAUGAAUGAGACAGCUGAGAUGGUCCUCUGAAAAAUCUGUCAGUAGCAAAUGCCCGGGGGGAGCACUAGAAAAAGGUGUGUGUGGAGAGAGGAAGGAAGGAAGAAAGGAGGGUGGCUUGGUUGCAUCAUUCUGCCUAUGCAGCUUUUUCAUACCUUUUGAAAAGUUGUCUGUUCUGAAUGCCUUAUACAAUUUUCAUGCUGCAUUUGCCAACCAGUGCCUUAUCUAAAGCAAUCAGUCUCUGCCCUCAGAAAUCCAGGGUUCACUUGCAGCCCUGAGUCAAGAUCCAAAGAACUGCACAAUUAGUAAUGCACAUCAACUAGUCUUCAUGUUUGUGUUUGUCGUACUCCUGUUUCCCCCUUUCCCCCAUGCUCUGCUACAGACAGUUUUUGAACUUGGGAGUACAAGGGCCUCCGGUUCAAAGGGAGGAGCAAUAAAAUAAAAAAAUCUCCCACUGGGCACUUUCUAGCCUGACACUGUUCUGUGGAUCUCAGCUGUAGCAUUUGUCCCCCACUAGCAGAGACAUAGCAAAGAAUGUGAAGUGCAUUAAUUGACUGAGGGUGGCUAUCCGAAACAACCAGGUGCCCUGCUUUCUGGUUGGGCAGCCUCUGUGUUGAAAAAUCCAUUUGUCUGUGCUUUUCCAUCACUCGGUCUUCUCUUCUGCUUCAUCUUUGCUCGUCUGCCUCUGUGGCAUGUAAUGAAAGGUUGUUUGUAAAGUUGUGGAUUUCAAGCUUUCCACUUGCAGUGUACCUUCUAGCCCAACUCGUCUGCAAAGGAACCCUUCCCUGCUUGCCCAUGAGAGAACCCCAGCACACUGCAGAGGAUUCUGGGGCUUGUAGGGCAUGCCCUGAGCAAUGGCUGCUGGUUAGGCCUUGUUGGGUGUUGCCAUUUAACCUGUACUAAAGUAGAAUGCCUUAGAACACAACACACCUACUACUGGCUAUGCAUUGCUGGGAAAGAUUGGUAGUGAUGGGCAAGCUGCCUAUUGGGAAAGCUCGUUUGCCGCUACUGAUUUUUCUCACUAAUAAGUAUUCAAAGAACCUCUGGGUUCUUGGAGUACACUUUGAAAACCACUGUUUUAAAUAAACAAGGCUGCGGUUCUAUAGCCACUUACCUGGGAGUCAGCACCAUUGAACUCAGUGGGACUUAUUUCUGAGUAGACAUGCACAGGACUGCACUGUGUAAGACACUCUGUCUCUGGCUAGUAGCAGGCUACUUUCCAAGCCGCCUGCAGUCUGGUGGCCUUUGGACUGGGGGGGGGGGCGCCACCUCUUGGCCUCCACCUGCCCUUAUCUUCUCCCCUGUCCUGUGAAUGGUUCACUUUUGACCCUGCAGUGCUUCUUGGGAGUCCUCCACUGCAGGUCUUAAGGAACUCACUUUCACUUUUCAGGCAUUCUCCCCCACCCCCUGCUCAUCACACUCAAGUUGCCAAAAAAGAUUGUUCCUAAUCUCUCUCUCCCUGUUCUCAGUGGGACAGUGAGAUUUUACUUUUUGUCUCAAGUAUUCAUGUCUGUGAUUUUUGCCUUAGGUGCCUCUUUUAUUUUUUACACUAUGGAAUUUCUACUUUUUUAGAGUGUGAUUUGAUACAUGGCAAUUAACCUGUAAUGUUGAAAUUAGUGUAUAGAAUUAUUUAUUUUGUGUAUUCAGUCUGUUUUUAAAUUUGUAAAAGUAUUCUGUUUAUUCAGUAAAGUGUUGAUCCUC